rnacentral:rRNA from 1 species
CCUACGGGCGGCAGCAGUGGGGAAUAUUGGUCAAUGGGCGCAAGCCUGACCCAGCAACGCCGCGUGAAGGAAGAAGGCUUUCGGGUUGUAAACUUCUUUUCUCAGGGACGCAGAAAGUGACGGUACCUGAGGAAUAAGCCACGGCUAACUACGUGCCAGCAGCCGCGGUAAUACGGAGGUGGCAAGCGUUAUCCGGAUGUAUUGGGGGUAAAGGUCGUGUAGGGGGGAGCGGAAGUCAGCUGUGAAAACUCAGGGCUCAACCCUGAGCCUGCAUUUGAAACUGUGUUUCUUGAGUGCUGGAGAGGCAAGCGGAAUUCGGGGUGUAGCGGUGAAAUGCGUAGAGAUACGGAGGAACACCAGUGGCGAAGGCGGAUUGCUGGACAGUAACUGACGCUGAGGCGCGAAAGCGUGGGGAGCAAACAGGAUUAGAUACCCCUGUAGUC